UAUCAUGCAUACAUCGAAAGCUCUGAUUGGUCGAAAAAUUUGGGGACAAUUUUUUUUUGGCAUCGGGUAUUCUCCUUCACACGACUCUCUUCUCUCUUCUUCUUCCCAGAUGAUUUUCAGUUCGGAGAAAACUCUUAAUCACGCCGCCGUAGACUUCUAAUCCCAUCAUCAAGAUCCAUUCCAAGCAUCCGGCUGGGAUGUGCUCGUAAUUGUUGUUUGCUCAUUGGAAAAGUAGUUUGAUAAAGAUGACUCAGAUCAUGGAAAUUCAGGAUUGUAUACACGGUGCUGAAGAAGCAAGACGAAGCUCUUUAUGGAUCUCAGAAAUCUGGUCUUACUUCUUCAGGCAUUAAUCCCUCAAUCCUCCGGCUGGGUUUGUGAACAUCGCCAACAGAUGGCUGGAUCAAAAAGUUGAAGAAGAAUGCUUGAUACUUGGUAAUCUGGAACAUGAGUUUGUUGGUUUUGAGUUGCAGGCUUUUCCUUGCUUUGAAUCUGUAGCUAUUUGGAACAAUGGAUCUUUGUAUAUAGUUGAUGAACUGUUUUUGUCUUC